CCUAUUCUAAAGGUCAGGAAAUUCUGGUCCUAAUGUCAGUGCUGUCAUCUAGUGGCUCUGUGAUCUUAAGCAAAUCACUUCACCUUUCUGAGUCUCAGUUGCUUCUGUUGUAAAAUUAAGGAAUGGUUGCUAAGGUCUCUUUCCAGCUCUGAAAGUGUAAGUCUAUGGUGCUAAAGAUUGUUAUGGCUUCUCCAUCAUGAGCUGGUGUAUCACAUUCAGAAGACUAGAGCCUAGGUGCUCUUCCUUUCUUUGUGGACUGUUGGGAUUCAGCUGACCUGGGACCAGCUAGUCUGUCUGCCAGCUUCCAGGCCAGAGCCAUGCCUAAUUAUUUGAUAGAGCUUUCCCCAAAGUGGAGCACUGCUUCUGUGUGAAUAGAAUUAAUUAAAUUAGAAAAUAUAAAUUGAGGGUUCCAUGGCCCAAUGAAUUUGAGUAUCUGGGUUAAACACAUUUAACAUUUUCUUUUUUCUCAGGACUUCUCAGAGCAUCAACGAACCAAUAUGCAUUUUGAAUCUCUUAAAGGGGGAAUAAACAGAAUUUCCCAAACAAAUUUGAUCGUGGGAUCCACUUUUCUAAGGAGCAACCCUUAAAAACAGCAACAACUCCAAGUUAGAUGGUCCUUACUCCCUUUUUCCACAAAUUCUUGACCUUCAAGAUGGGAAGGAGUGUUUCCACUCUUCCUCCUCUGGAAUCCCAAAGGCAGUCAGUCUUUUGUCACAGUCUCCCUAGCGCAGCCUUGCAGGCAGUGCCAAUGAUUUUUGCUAAUUGCUAUUGAAUUCCCAUUGAAUUGACACCCCUCACAGUUCCCCAUGUCAGUCCCCCAUGCUUCCCUGCAGCAGAUGCUCACAGAUUGCCCCCUUUACCUCAAUAUCUGAGAGGUAGAGACAGACAAGUCAACAUGGGCUCCUCUGAGCCCAGAGCUUCCUCUUGGUGGCUUGGUCUGAGGAUCACUGUGGCUGGAUUGACAGGUAGUAGCUGUUGAUUCUCUGGUUUGGGGUUAAUUUUCUAUAAGAGACAGGAAGAAAGCUGCCGGAGUCCCUCACCUUAGGAAUAUAUACGUCCUGGGAUGGAAAGGCAUGGGGAGCGGAGCGACAGACGGAGAGAGGCUUGAGGACACAAAGGAGGAAGCGUGCCAUUGCCAAGACCCCAAGGAAGAAGGACAGAGAGCGCUGGCAGUCCUGUCUGGCCCCCAGCCAGUUUCCUGCUGAAGAUGGCCAAAUCCUCUUGCCUGGUCUGUGCUGCUCAUCUGGGUCCUGUAGCGCCGCUGCCCCAUUCCAUCUGGAACCCCGACCCCACUUCCUGUUCCUCCACUGCUUCCCCCAGCCCCAGGAGACUCUGGUUCGGCCAGACUGGAAGCAGACGAAUCGCUGAGAUCCCCUGCCGAUGGACUGCAAGCCUCGCUCUCUGGCUUUCCCUUCCUAUGGAAGCUAACAUGCUCCGGGGGGUUACUUUCUUCAGAGAUUUCUCACCACCUGAUAUUUCCUGGUUUACUUACUUCUCCCUUCUAGACGAUGAGGCAGCCAAGAAACAGGUUGAGUGAGCUGCUAACUGUCGCACAACUCCAAAGGAGGGGAAACCAGAGGACUGGUGGGGCACAGAGACCUGGGCCCUCCAUCUACCUGGAUCAUCCCUCAGACCCAGGAAAGGCCAAAUGAGCCUCCAGAGGUCUAGCAGUCAGAAUUCCGGGGCUCCCUCCAGCUACUAGAAACGCCAGGCCUCCCACGCUGUUCCCAGCCUUUUUACCUUGAUUACCACACCUUCCUCCCCGUCCGCAACCCCCCCCACCCCGCUUCCCGUCCCCACCAAACUCACCAGUUCCCCAUGCUUCACCAUCCCAUACUUUUCCCAAUGUCCCAAGUGGUUUGCAUCCACUCCAGGUCUUAAUUAUCAGCCAAUCUCUAAUGAUUAAACCUUUAGCGUUCAAGCCCAUGCUUCCA